rnacentral:rRNA from 1 species
UACGGGGGGGUAAGCGUUGUUCGGAAUUACUGGGCGUAAAGGGCUCGUAGGCGGCCAACUAAGUCAGACGUGAAAUCCCUCAGCUUAACUGGGGAACUGCGUCUGAUACUGGAUGGCUUGGAUUCGGGAGAGGAAUGCGGAAUUCCAGGUGUAGCGGUGAAAUGCGUAGAUAUCUGGAGGAACACCGGUGGCGAAGGCGGCAUCCUGGACCGACAUUGACGCUGAGGCACGAAGGUCAGGGGAGCAAACGGG